rnacentral:rRNA from 1 species
UACGAAGGGGGCUAGCGUUGCUCGGAAUCACUGGGCGUAAAGCGCACGUAGGCGGCUUCUUAAGUCGAGGGUGAAAUCCUGGAGCUCAACUCCAGAACUGCCUUCGAUACUGAGGAGCUUGAGUCCGGGAGAGGUGAGUGGAACUGCGAGUGUAGAGGUGAAAUUCGUAGAUAUUCGCAAGAACACCAGUGGCGAAGGCGGCUCACUGGCCCGGUACUGACGCUGAGACGCGAAAGCGUGGGGAGCGAACAGG